rnacentral:lncRNA from 1 species
UAAGGAUUCCUUCUACAACAUGGAUAGAAAAUACUAAUCACUUAACACUCAAAUCCCCAUUCCACCUCCAGUAAUGGGUAUCACUGAACACUUUCUCAAACAUGUUCAGUAUGGGCUUUGCAGCCUUGUUUGAUUGAGGCGCAUCAGUUACCAAAAAUGGCUACACACGCACCCUCCUUCUCUAAUACAUACUAAACGGGUUUCGUAGUGU